rnacentral:rRNA from 1 species
AGUAACGGCGAGUGAAGCGGCAACAGCUCAAAUUUGAAAGCUGGCCUUCGGGUCCGCAUUGUAAUUUGUAGAGGAUGCUUUGGGUGAAACGCCAGUCUAAGUUCCUUGGAACAGGACGUCAUAGAGGGUGAGAAUCCCGUAUGUGACUGGAAAUGUUAACCUAUGUAAAGCUCCUUCGACGAGUCGAGUUGUUUGGGAAUGCAGCUCUAAAUGGGAGGUAAAUUUCUUCUAAAGCUAAAUAUUGGCGAGAGACCGAUAGCGCACAAGUAGAGUGAUCGAAAGAUGAAAAGCACUUUGGAAAGAGAGUUAAAAAGCACGUGAAAUUGUUGAAAGGGAAGCGCUUGCAAUCAGACUUGUUUAAACUGUUCGGCCGGUCUUCUGACCGGUUUACUCAGUUUGGACAGGCCAGCAUCAGUUUCGGCGGCCGGAUAAAGGCUCUGGGAAUGUGGCCUUCACUUCGGUGAAGGUGUUAUAGCCCAGGGUGUAAUACGGCCAGCCGGGACUGAGGUCCGCGCUCGGCU